AUAUUAAUAAGCGGAGGAAAAGAAACUAACAAGGAUUCCCCCAGUAAGGGCGACUGAACGGGGAAGAGCCCAGCACCGAAUCCUGCAGCGUCUCGUUGUUAGGAAAUGUGGUGUUUAGGCAAGCCUAUCCUGCACUUUGAGACAGUCAAAGUCCCCUUGAGGGGGGCCAUCGCCCAGAGCGGGUGCAAGGCCCAUACGACGUCCUUUGUGUUGGUUUGAGCUGCCGUGGAGUCGGGUUGCUUGAGAGUGCAGCCCAAAGUUGGUGGUAAACCCCAUCUAAGGCUAAAUAUGACCACGAGACCGAUAGCGCACAAGUA
rnacentral:rRNA from 1 species